AUUGAACGCUGGCGGCGUGCCUAACACAUGCAAGUCGAACGAACGACCGGAGCUUGCUCUGGAAGUUAGUGGCGCACGGGUGAGUAACACGUGGAUGAUCUACCCAUCAGUUUGGGAUAACAGUUGGAAACGACUGCUAAUACCGGAUACGAUCUUUAUUUCGCAUUAAGGUGAAAGGCGGCCUCUGCUUGCAUGCUGUCGCUGAUGGAUGAGUCCGCGCCUCAUUAGGUAGUUGGUAGGGUAACGGCCUACCAAGCCAACGAUGAGUAGCCGGCCUGAGAGGGUAAUCGGCCACACUGGGACUGGAACACGGCCCAGACUCCUACGGGAGGCAGCAGUGGGGAAUACUGCACAAUGGGCGCAAGCCUGAUGCAGCAACGCCGCGUGAGCGAAGAAGGCCUUUGGGUCGUAAAGCUCUGUCCUUGGGGAAGAAACAAAUGACGGUACCCUUGGAGGAAGCCCCGGCUAACUACGUGCCAGCCGCCGCCGUAAA
rnacentral:rRNA from 1 species